UACGGAGGGGGCGAGCGUUAUUCGGAAUCAUUGGGCGUAAAGGGCGCGUAGGCGGCCCCGUAAGUCUUGGGUGAAAGCCCUCGGCUCAACCGAGGAAUUGCCUUGGAUACUGCGGGGCUCGAGGCUGGAAGAGGGUAGCGGAAUUCCCGGUGCAGCGGUGAAAUGCGUAGAUAUCGGGAGGAACACCAGUGGCGAAGGCGGCUACCUGGGCCAGUUCUGACGCUGAGGCGCGAAAGCGUGGGGAGCAAACAGG
rnacentral:rRNA from 1 species